CACAGCAAGUCCCACUCUCUCUCUCUGCACUUGUCGUGCUCUCCCCGGAUACACACGCACACUUCCCAGGGAUCCGCCUCCUGUGUUUAUUUCCACGGCCACGUGUUCUCCGCUUGGUUCCAUCCGUUUAGCUUCUCCUGGUUUCGGCUCUUGUAUCUUUCCACCUGUCGCCGCCGGCGUUUCCCUUUUUUUUCGCGCCUUCUUGUGUGUGCGUGUGCUUGCCAUGCUCCGCGGCCUCGUCAACGCAGACGCGCUCACCUCAGAGCAGGUUGAGCACAUUGACCAACUCCAACAUGAGAUCGACGAAAUCUGGAACCGGCGCGGCAACUACCAGAUCGACCCAGACGCGUGGGAGACGAUGCCGUUCUUUAUGGAGAAUAUUACGGAGGAAGAUAUUGACAAGAACGCCAACUGCGCAGCGCUCGCAUCCAUCGUGUACGACGAGGUGCCACCGGACGAGAUUGCCGAGAAUCGCAAGGAGCACGGCAACCGCGCCUUGAGCAUGGCUCUGAACCCCAACCAAGAGCGCCGCGAGAACCUCGCACGUGCUGCGUGUUACAGCUACACCGAGGCCUUGCAAGCCAAGGGAAAGAACACGAAGCUGUCCUCCACCAUCUACGCCAACCGUAGCCUUGCCCAGUUUAUCAUUGGCAACUAUGGCCACGCGCUCGCGGACGCGCAGCGGUCCAUCAUCCUCGACCCUGACUACCGCAAGGCAUACUACCGAGCUGCGAAGUGCGCAUUCGCACUGAAGAAGUACGACAUGGGGCUUCAGCUGCUCGAGAAGGGGCGGCGUGUCGUUGACCCGCCCAUGGACGCCGCGGCGCAGGCGGAGUUUUUGGAAAUGGAAAAGAAGUGCUUGCAGGGCAAGGAGCAGCAAACAUCAGAGGAGGCGAAACAGCGGCGCGCGGCGCGCUCGCAGGCGGCGAAAGUGUCGAAUGUGGCUCGCGCCAUCACCUCCAGCGGCAUCAAGAUCUCCUCCAGGGCGGAGGUGACGAGCGAGCAGAUGGGGGUCUACGGCAACCCAAAGCCAUACUUUGACACGGACGGCAUGCUGCACGUUCCGCUGCUCUUCAUAUACGACGAGUACCAGCAGACAGACAUCAUGCACGACGUCGCGUGUGACGUGUGCGCAGCGGAGCUCCUCGAUGAGCUCAUGCCCUUCCCCUGGGACGAUCGCGGACGCUACCAAAAGCUUGACGACAUUAUCGUCUUCUUCAAGAUCGAUGACGGCGCCAACGACGCACAGUACUACGAGGUCGACCAGUCCUGGCCACUGCUUGAGGUGUUCCGCGAAGAGGCGUACGAGAUGCCGCAGCUGAUGCCCGUGCUGCACGUUGUGUGCAAGGCCAGCGAACUCGUUGAUCGUCUCAAAAUCCACCGCGUUGCGUGAGUGUCGGUGUUGCUCGCAAAAAGGCGAGAGACGAGAGUGAGAGGCGAGCGACUUCUGGAGGCGCAUGCCUUGCGCCUAUCUGUCUCUACGUAUGCGUUUACAGGUAUACCCCUGCUCACGCAUUCUGUCUGCUGUCAUGUUCGUGGCCAUGCUCCUGCUCCAGCCUGGCUACGCUGACACGUCGCUGGCGGCUGCAACUCCCCGUCUCCUUUCCUUUUCUUCCCUCCCUCCUCCCCCACCGCAGCUCUCGUCAGCACCCACAGGCUCGCCUGCGGAUACCGUUAGCGCGUGUGCACCGCGUCUUGUCCGCCCUUCGCGUGCACACGCCUCUCCGCACCUCUUCAGCGCAUCUUUCCCUGCCUCUCUGUGUUUCCUUUUGCUCACAUCUCGUGUAAUGUCCGGCGCGUCGCGGACUUUCUCGCCGCUUCCCCUCUCGUGUAAAACGGCCAGUCCUUCGCAUCUAAGCCGAGCGGCAAUGGACCCACCCAUGCCGGCCCACGAAAACGCACCUGCACACCGAAUGCACGCACAUGGAAGAGACACGCACGGCCAACCGCGCAGACGCGCAUCUCUGUGUGCAUGUGUGUACA
rnacentral:misc_RNA from 1 species